GAGGUAGCUCAGUUGGUUAGAGCGUGGUGGUGACAUCACCAAGGUCGCAAGUUUGAUUCCCAUGUUGGACA